rnacentral:rRNA from 1 species
UAGGUGUACGCGGUAGGAGAGCGUUCUAAGGGCGUUGAAGCUAGACCGGAAGGACUGGUGGAGCGCUUAGAAGUGAGAAUGCCGGUAUGAGUAGCGAAAGAUGGGUGAGAAUCCCAUCCACCGAAUGCCUAAGGUUUCCUGAGGAAGGCUCGUCCGCUCAGGGUUAGUCGGGACCUAAGCCGAGGCCGAAAGGCGUAGGCGAUGGACAACAGGUUGAUAUUCCUGUACCACCUCGUUUUUGUUUGAGCGAUGGGGGGACGCAGGAGGAUAGGGUAAGCGCACUGCUGGAUAUGUGCGUCUAAGCAGUUAGGCUGGUAAACAGGCAAAUCCGUUUACCAUAAAGGCUGAGCUGUGAUAGCGAGGGAAAUAAAGUACCGAAGUUCCUGAUUCCACACUGCCAAGAAAAGCCUCUAGUGAGAAAACAGGUGCCCGUACCGCAAACCGACACAGGUAGGCGAGGAGAGAAUCCUAAGGUGAGCGAGAGAACUCUCGUUAAGGAACUCGGCAAAAUGACCCCGUAACUUCGGGAGAAGGGGUGCUUUUUAGGGUGAAUAGCCCUGAAGAGCCGCAGUGAAUAGGCCCAGGCGACUGUUUAGCAAAAACACAGGUCUCUGCGAAGCCGCAAGGCGAAGUAUAGGGGCUGACGCCUGCCCGGUGCUGGAAGGUUAAGAGGAGGGGUUAGCGUAAGCGAAGCUCUGAAUUGAAGCCCCAGUAAACGGCGGCCGUAACUAUAACGGUCCUAAGGUAGCGAAAUUCCUUGUCGGGUAAGUUCCGACCCGCACGAAAGGCGUAACGAUCUGGGCACUGUCUCAACGAGAGACUCGGUGAAAUUAUAGUACCUGUGAAGAUGCAGGUUACCCGCGACAGGACGGAAAGACCCCGUGGAGCUUUACUGUAGCCUGAUAUUGAAUUUUGGUACAGCUUGUACAGGAUAGGUAGGAGCCUGAGAAGCCGGAGCGCUAGCUUCGGUGGAGGCGUCGGUGGGAUACUACUCUGGCUGUAUUGACAUUCUAACCCGCACCUCUACAUCGAGGUGGGAGACAGUGUCAGGUGGGCAGUUUGACUGGGGCGGUCGCCUCCUAAAGAGUAACGGAGGCGCCCAAAGGUUCCCUCAGAAUGGUUGGAAAUCAUUCGUAGAGUGUAAAGGCACAAGGGAGCUUGACUGCGAGACCUACAAGUCGAGCAGGGACGAAAGUCGGGCUUAGUGAUCCGGUGGUUCCGCAUGGAAGGGCCAUCGCUCAACGGAUAAAAGCUACCCCGGGGAUAACAGGCUUAUCUCCCCCAAGAGUCCACAUCGACGGGGAGGUUUGGCACCUCGAUGUCGGCUCAUCGCAUCCUGGGGCUGUAGUCGGUCCCAAGGGUUGGGCUGUUCGCCCAUUAAAGCGGUACGCGAGCUGGGUUCAGAACGUCGUGAGACAGUUCGGUCCCUAUCCGUCGUGGGCGUAGGAAAUUUGAGAGGAGCUGUCCUUAGUACGAGAGGACCGGGAUGGACGCACCGCUGGUGUACCAGUUGUUCUGCCAAGAGCAUCGCUGGGUAGCUAUGUGCGGAAGGGAUAAGUGCUGAAAGCAUCUAAGCAUGAAGCCCCCCUCAAGAUGAGAUUUCCCAUAGCGUAAGCUAGU